rnacentral:rRNA from 1 species
UAGGGAAUCUUCCACAAUGGACGCAAGUCUGAUGGAGCAACGCCGCGUGAGUGAAGAAGGUUUUCGGACCGUAAAGCUCUGUUGUUGGUGAAGAAGGAUAGAGGUAGUAACUGGCCUUUAUUUGACGGUAAUCAACCAGAAAGUCACGGCUAACUACGUGCCAGCAGCCGCGGUAAUACGUAGGUGGCAAGCGUUGUCCGGAUUUAUUGGGCGUAAAGCGAGCGCAGGCGGAAGAAUAAGUCUGAUGUGAAAGCCCUCGGCUUAACCGAGGAAUUGCAUCGGAAACUGUUUUUCUUGAGUGCAGAAGAGGAGAGUAGAACUCCAUGUGUAGCGGUGGAAUGCGUAGAUAUAUGGAAGAAUACCAGUGGCGAAGGCGGCUCUCUGGUCUGCAACUGACGCUGAGGCCCGAAAGCAUGGGUAGCGAACAGGAUUAGAUACCCUGGUAGUCCAUGCCGUAAACGAUGAGUGCUAAGUGUUGGGAGGCUUCCGCCUCUCAGUGCUGCAGCUAACGCAUUAAGCACUCCGCCUGGGGGAGUACGACCGCAAGGUUGAAAC